ACACCGGCGGCCCGAGUGGUGAUCGUGAUUAUUGGGUCUAAAGGGUCCGUAGCCGGUUUGGUCAGUCCUCCGGGAAAUCUGAUAGCUCAACUAUUAGGCUUUCGGGGGAUACUACCAGACUUGGAACCGGGAGAGGUAAGAGGUACUACAGGGGUAGGAGUGAAAUCUUGUAAUCCCUGUGGGACCACCUGUGGCGAAGGCGUCUUACCAGAACGGGUUCGACGGUGAGGGACGAAGCCCUGGGGCGC
rnacentral:rRNA from 1 species